rnacentral:rRNA from 1 species
CAGUCGCCACGGGAAAACGGAGGGUGCAAGCGUUAUCCGGAUUUAUUGGGUUUAAAGGGUCCGUAGGCGGACUUAUAAGUCAGUGGUGAAAGCCUGUCGCUUAACGAUAGAACUGCCAUUGAUACUGUAAGUCUUGAGUAUAUUUGAGGUAGCUGGAAUAAGUAGUGUAGCGGUGAAAUGCAUAGAUAUUACUUAGAACACCAAUUGCGAAGGCAGGUUACCAAGAUAUAACUGACGCUGAGGGACGAAAGCGUGGGUAGCGAACAGGAUUAGAUACCCCCGUAGUCCCUGUCUCUUAUAC